CUGAACCCCACCCGCUGCAGAGGGCUUCCCCCCACAACAUCCAAAGAGUGUCUUUGAGGGGCUGGAGCAGAAACAUUGCCUCUCAGAUCCAAGACCCUGUUUGGGGUGGCACAAGCCUUCUGAGGAAAUGCAGGCACAGAGGAAGACAUUCAUUCUUUCAAAAUCAUUUGUUCAACCAAUGCAGCGGCCUACUACGAGUGUGACAUAGUUCUAGGUGCUGGAGUUCAGCGGGAGCCAGGUAAUUUGCCUAAUAGCAGUGGAUUUGAAGACUGUUCAAGCCUGGUAGCACCAGCAGACCAGGUCGGCGCAGGCCUCAGCCCCGUGGCACUCACAAUCUAGAAGUGGGAGACAGACAAUACACGAAUGAAUGAGACCAUUUAAAGAUGCAGAAAAUAAAAUAGAGGGAGGGAAUGGGAUGCGCCGUCGGCUUAUUGGAGGUGGGCCAGGGCUAUGUGAAGGACCGAGGAGCCGCAGGGCGGGGGUGCAGGAGCCCCGGCACGGCGCCCUCUCUGCGGAGCCGACUGGGCGGCGGUCCCGACGCACGCUCCUAGGGUCAGCCGCAAUUACCGCCUUUAUUAUUAUAAGUCGCGGCCCCCGCACUGCCCAGCUCUUUGCGCCUUAGUUUCCCCCUCUGUGCGCACUCGGGUCGCGAGGCGCAGAGGACGCCCCAAACAACUUUGCGCUUCCCGGCCUGGCCGCAGGGCGGGGGAGGGGCGGCGCCGGGAGCGGACUCCGUUUCCCACAAGCCCGAGCCUCGCGCCAUCUUGCCGGUGGGCGGUGGCUGCCCGGGGUUGGCCGUUUGGGCCGGCCGGGUGCCACCGCUCACCCCCAGCCCCGGCUUCUUCCGCUGGGGGCGUGGGACCUGCUACUCGGAGAGUCUAGGGACCCGGACAGCUCCUGCCCGCCUUCUCCACUCUUCCUUUCCCAGGAGCCCAGUCCACGUGUCGGUCCGUGCGGAGGAGCCCGUUCGCUCCUCGCUGGCCGAGGGCUGGAGGACCUGGACAUCGGGGACCGCAGCGUC
rnacentral:lncRNA from 10 species